rnacentral:rRNA from 1 species
UCCGCCUGGGGAGUACGGUCGCAAGAUUAAAACUCAAAGGAAUUGACGGACUCCUACGGGAGGCAGCAGUGGGGAAUUUUGCGCAAUGGGGGAAACCCUGACGCAGCAACGCCGCGUGGAGGAUGAAGUCCCUUGGGAUGUAAACUCCUUUCGAUCGGGACGAUAAUGACGGUACCGGAAGAAGAAGCACCGGCUAACUCUGUGCCAGCAGCCGCGGUAAUACAGAGGGUGCAAGCGUUAAUCGGAAUUACUGGGCGUAAAGCGUGCGCAGGCGGUUCGUUGUGUCGGCGGUGAAAGCCCCGGGCUCAACCUGGGAAUGGCCGUUGAAACUGGCGAACUGGAGUGUGGCAGAGGGGGGUGGAAUUCCGCGUGUAGCAGUGAAAUGCGUAGAGAUGCGGAGGAACACCGAUGGCGAAGGCAGCCCCCUGGGCUGACACUGACGCUCAGGCACGAAAGCGUGGGGAGCAAACAGGAUUAGAUACCCUGGUAGUCCACGCCCUAAACGAUGUCGACUGGGUGUUGGGGAAGCGAUUUCCCAGUACCGUAGCUAACGCGUGAAGUCGACCGCCUGGGGAGUACGGCCGCAAGGUUAAAACUUAAAGGAAUUGACG